UAGAUAGAGAAAAUGAACAAAAAUGAGGUCCAUCUAUUCAGCAAUAUUUCAACUUCUUUUAAAAAAUUGUUCUUUGUUUGCUCGAUGUGCUGCGACCCUAGAUUUAUUAACAGUCGCAGAUUGGAAAGGUUGUCAAAGGCAGGGGCAGGGAGUGCGCAAUAAAAAGAAAAAGAGCAAAUUUGACAAUCCGAUUGUUAAACUCUUGUUGCAGAAUCAGCCUAAAAAACGCAUCCGGAGAGGAAAGAUCGCGAAACAAGAAGUUGAAGCGCCUGAGGA
ensembl:ncRNA T12B3.9 ncRNA